UUUAUUAUAUAGGAGAGUAACCUACUACUAUCCACCAAUGUUGCUUAGAUACCACCUACUGAGAUGACAAUCUUAACUGUGGUCUCCAUCCCUUCCCGUGUUUCUGACUCACUUCCAUCACACUAGGGGGAAGAGGAAACUUCUCACCUGACUCCUAAGAAAACACAUUGAUUCCUGACCUCUGUUUGUUUAGCCCUUUAUAUUGACCUUUCAUAUCACAGAGCCUUACCUUCUUUUCUGAGGGUGGUCUACCUGCUGGGACCCUUAAAUGCAAACCCAUUCUUUGG